rnacentral:ribozyme from 1 species
UGCACAGCAACUCCUAUCUUUACCUCCACGCAGUACCGGCCGGAAACUAUGAGCAACUUUAGGGAAGAUCGGGUAACCAGCCCCGGUGGGAGCUUUGGUCGUAGGCUGACAGGGAAGG